UGCCCACUGAUAAUAAUUAAAGGGCUGCAGUAUUUUGACUGUACAAAGGUAGCAUAAUCAUUAGUCAUUUAAUUGAUGACUUGUAUGAAAGAUUGGAUGAAAUAUAAACUGUCUCAUUAAUAAUUUAUAGAAAUUAAUUUUUUAAUUAAAAAGUUAAAAUAAUUUAAAAAGACGAGAAGACCCUAUAGAGUUUUAUUUUUUAAUAGUUUAAUUGAAUGUAUAAAUUUAUAAAUUUUUAAACUAUUAAGGAAUUUUAUUGGGGUGAUAGAAAAAUUAAAUUAACUUUUUUUAAUAGUUUAUACAUAAAUAAAUGAUUAUUUGAUCCAAUUAAUAUUGAUUAUAAGAAUAAAUUACCUUAGGGAUAACAGCGUAAUUUUUUUUUUUAGUUCGUAUAAAAAAAAGAGUUUGCGACCUCGAUGUUGGAUUAAGAUAAAAUUUAAAUGUAGAAGUUUAAAAUUUUGA
rnacentral:rRNA from 1 species